UACGUAGGCAGCAAGCGUUGUUCGGAUUUACUGGGCGUAAAGGGUGUGUAGGCGGUUAUUUAAGUUUGGUGUGAAAUCUCCCGGCUCAACCGGGAGGGUGCGCCGAAUACUGAAUGACUUGGAGUGCGGGAGAGGAAAGUGGAAUUCCUGGUGUAGCGGUGAAAUGCGUAGAUAUCAGGAGGAACACCGGUGGUGUAGACGGCUUUCUGGACCGUAACUGACGCUGAGACACGAAAGCGUGGGUAGCAAACAGG
rnacentral:rRNA from 1 species